GUGCUCACUUUUGAAGCACAUGUACUAAAGCUAGAAAGAUAUGGAGAAGAGUAGCAAGCCCCUGUGCAAGGAUGACCAAAAAUUUGUGAUGCAUUCCAUAUUUUU